AGUAGUCCUCUCAACAGAAAAUAUAAGAAGAAUAAAUAGACCAAAUUCCAUCUAUUUCUGCUCCAGUAGCAACCAUUUGGACAGAAAAGACAGAGAGGUUAAUAAGCAAAUGAAGGCUUUCAUGUGAUGUGUCCAGUCAAGAAGUAUGAAUUUUGUCUGCAUUCUUUUACAACUAUUCAGGAUGUGCCUUCAAGGAUUCUUGGUUAACAGGAAGAUGAUUUAGCCAUGCUGCUUAAGAUGUAGAAGAAAAUCCUAGCAUUACUAUCACAAAAAGAUACACCAUGAGAUGACAAGGGACUGUGGGAUUGCCACAGAGACAAAGUACCUCCCCUUAACCAGAAUAUUCUCUGUGUCCCCAUCUCUGCACUUUACUGGAUGAAUCCUAAUGUUGAUGAAAAUCCCAGAUGUAGCUAACUGGAAAAAGCAUUGAAGAAAAUGUAUCCUUCAUAUUCUUACAUUGACCAGUGUGUGUGUUUAGAAAUCAGUUCCCCAUUUCCAAGGGAAUGGGACCAUCCUUUCACAGAGUGCUCUGCUAUGCUGCUGACUAAUAAA